GAUGAACGCUGGCGGCGUGCUUAACACAUGCAAGUCGAACGAUGAAGCCCAGCUUGCUGGGUGGAUUAGUGGCGAACGGGUGAGUAACACGUGAGUAACCUGCCCUUGACUCUGGGAUAAGCCUGGGAAACUGGGUCUAAUACCGGAUAGGAACGUCCACCGCAUGGUGGUUGUUGGAAAGAUUUAUCGGUCAUGGAUGGACUCGCGGCCUAUCAGCUUGUUGGUGAGGUAAUGGCUCACCAAGGCGACGACGGGUAGCCGGCCUGAGAGGGUGACCGGCCACACUGGGACUGAGACACGGCCCAGACUCCUACGGGAGGCAGCAGUGGGGAAUAUUGCACAAUGGGCGAGAGCCUGAUGCAGCGACGCCGCGUGAGGGAUGACGGCCUUCGGGUUGUAAACCUCUUUCAGUAGGGAAGAAGCGAAAGUGACGGUACCUGCAGAAGAAGCACCGGCUAACUACGUGCCAGCAGCCGCGGUAAUAC
rnacentral:rRNA from 1 species